UUUUUGAAAGGGAAACGAUUGAAGUCAGUCAUGCCGGUGGGAAUCAACUUAGGGGAAACUCUGGGUGCACUUCUUCGCUUGGCAGGUCAACGUCGAUUUUGAAUGUCAUAAAAUAAUUGGGGGAAGGUAGCUCCUUCGGGAGUGUUAUAGCCCUUGAUAGAUGUGAUGUUUGGGGUCGAGGAUUGCAACGGAUACCCUUCGGGGCUAGCCGCCUGAUCUCUAAUUGGUGUUGGGUUACGGACAGCAUGCUGACCGUGAUCUAAUUACUGGUUAAAAGGUUAGAGUGUGCAUAAAUUCGUUAAGGAUGUUGACG
rnacentral:rRNA from 1 species